UACAGAGGGUGCGAGCGUUGUUCGGAAUUAUUGGGCGUAAAGGGCGCGUAGGCGGUGCGGUAAGUCACCUGUGAAAUCUCCUGGCUCAACUGGGAGCUUGCAGGCGAAACUGCCGUGCUGGAGUGUGGGAGAGGUGCGUGGAAUUCCCGGUGUAGGCGGUGAAAUGCGUAGAUAUCGGGAGGAACACCUGUGGCGAAAGCGGCGCACUGGACCACAACUGACGCUGAGGCGCGAAAGCUAGGGGAGCAAACAGG
rnacentral:rRNA from 1 species